GCAUGCAGCACUUGUACGCUAGCAAUUUAAUUUCUUCAGACUGGAAAUACGAUAAUGCUAACGUUUGUUGUCAGAAAUAUACUAGCUUCUCCUUUCGAUCGAGGGUAUAUUUUUCAGUCAUAGUUAUAACGCCGAAAGGUACUGUGAAAUCAUACGAAGUGAGUUUCAGAGUGAUGAUCCAAAUGUACGUGGUCCCCAGGGCACCCCUGAAAGUUCUAAUUAUGCUGUUGGUGAUCUAGACAUUGAAGCUGUGGACAGUCGAGAUAUCAAAGGCAUAAAGUAAGCAAUCAUCCAUGAUUCCAGAAAUGACUGACUUGGGGCAAACAUGGUUACACACCGCCAUCAGUGAGGUCUUGCCUGACCUUCCAGAGAUGAUGAAGGAUAUUCUAGAAGAGACCUAACAUUCCCUUGGGGUGGAGACAUGAUGAUUUUAAGUUUACCGAGGAAGCCGAUUUGCUGUCAGCAUUGAGGCCAAUUCAAGCCCGCAGAG